rnacentral:tRNA from 1 species
GUCCCCGUAGCUCAACGGAUAGAGCAGAGGUUUCCUAAACCUCAGAUCUCAGUUCGAUUCUGAGCGGGGAUA